rnacentral:lncRNA from 1 species
CUCUUCUGCUUCUGGCCUCUCUUUCCACCCACUGCCCCUUCCUCUUUCCCCGUCUCUACCCUCCCCCCAGCGUCCACUCCCAAGCUCUUGAGCCUGGCUAAGUGGGGGCCAGUCCCAGCAUCUGCUGGUCCCAGCCCACAGGCUCCCCUGUCCCACCUGUGCUCAGAGGCUCUGCAGCAGUGUGUUUGCUUAGGGUCCCUGGAGGCCACAGCUCCAGUGGCUCUUCCAAGGCUGGGACAGUGGAGCCUGAGCUCUGGCAAGUGUGAGGGGAGUCAGGAGGGCUCCAGGGGAGCACCAGCCAGGCCGAGCCUGGACAGGCCCCUUCUUUUUCCAGGGGCGCUGCAGGGAGAUGAUGUCUUUGGCCUCAAAAUCUGCCUCUGUUGGGUGGAGCGGUCACCUCCAGGACGUCAGAGGCACCUGGAAGUCCUGCCAUCUGGGCUUAAAACACAUCCAUUCAGGGGCCAGGCAUUUGCACUGUCCAUACCAGCUGGUGACCUGCGUUCUGCUGCCCCCUCCCCAAGCUCCAUCUGUGACCUGGUGCUGUGGGGGGAGCUGGUCCCAUCCUCCCCUGAACUAAGGGAAUCCUGAGCCUGCCCAAGAAACGUGGCUGGGACUGGGCAGCCUGAUGGGGGCUGCUGAUCAAGACGGGCCCCUGCUUCACUUGUGUCUGAGCGGAACCUUCCCAACAUGGCGGAGGAGUGAACGUGAGAGAGCAUGGCCUUCCUAAACCUGCAACGUCCCCGGGGGUGCGUGGCAGUCUUUGUGUGGUGACAGUCCUCCUUGGGGGGUCAGGGCGCUUGGAGCUCAGCAGGAUUGCCAAGGACAGAGAGGGGCCUUGGCCUUGCGAUCCCAUGGCCUCCUGGGAGCUUUGGGAGGUGCGCUUCCCUAGCAUCUUGUCCUUAGUGGUGGGACUUGUAUGAGAUAGGUGAAGAACUCACAGUCCGGGUAUGUAACUGUUAGCUCAAUUAGCUGAAGCCUGGAGGUCUCAGUCAUGUGAUGUUAGAUAAGGACUGAUGUAUAAAAAUUGUACAAGGGGCUCAGGGGAGCGGCCCUCCUGCUGUGAGCAUUUCUGUUGUCCUUUCUGCUGGCAGUGGGAAUGUCCGCUUCUUAUGAGAUUCUAAUACAUUUUCUGCACCCUACUUGGAGCGACUCCUGAGUAGUCAAUUUGGGUAGGGGUCUUCGCUGUCCCACACAGACUGCAGAUCAGACUAGAGAGGGUCAGGGCUGUCCUUGUGUCUCCCCAUAGGCCAGCUCCUUCUCUGCCUAUAAAUGGUGUUCUGCUGUCUGGCACCCCUGUUCUGCCCCCCCCAGUCCCCUUUCUCUUCUGCCUGCAGCGCCAAACCUCUGACAGGACGUAUCUAGACCCCCACCGCCUCAGCUUCCCCACCCGCCCCUCAGUCCCCA